GUCUCCUUGUUCCUCAUGAGCCUCGCAACACCAAAAUUCCCAGACCCUAUAUCCUUCACAAGCUCGUAUUUCUCCAUCUUCUUAUCCUUAAAUAAACUUCACUGAAUUCAACACCUUUAAGCUGAAUUACAACGUACUAUGAACCAUAUAUUCACCAAAUCAGGAAAAAAGGUGUUUGAGAAUCUGUGAAUUUAGAAAGAACUAGGGUUUCUUGUAGCACAAAGAUUUGAGAAAUUGUGGGGCUUUGAAUAUGGAUAGAACAAAAUUGAUAUGGGGUUAUGGUGAGAGAAAAGAAUGAAAUCAGGAUUAUUAGCAGAGAUUUGAAGCUAAAGCAAGGAAUCCACUAGUGUGUGUCUGUGUGUGCAUGAGACAGAGCGAGAGAUUCUAGGGAGUAAUAGGGACAAAGUGUGAAAUGGUGA
rnacentral:misc_RNA from 1 species